UUUCUCUGAGGACAAGAUCUCUCCCACCCUUGGUCUGGCAUCUGGGAUUAAUUUGGCCAUCAGCAACCUCCAGUGAAAAAACUAAGGACCUGCUUACUAGAUGAAAUCUAAGGAGCUGCCCCAAAGCAAGCAAGUAGACGUAGAAUCAGAAACCAAAGAACCCUGAAAUGCUUUUCUAAGGAAACCUUGUCAUAUAGAGGAGGUGCUUUCAUAAACUGCCCUUCCUGGGCAAGGGAGCACCCGCAGCAUUCCUCGAACAGGCAGCAGCCAGUCUCUGCUGCUAUCGCUGCAGAGCAAAAGGCAGCAGUGCAGCCCUUCCUCUCUUCUUAUCUGCCUGGCUCAGAAAGGCUCCUGCCCAGUCCAGCUGCUCUGACCCAGCUGUGUUAACACCGUGCCCGCCCCCGCGCGUGUCAGAAAGAGUUUGAUGUUCUUCCUGGAGCAGCCUGGUGACCAGCCAGCUGGUGUGGCAGCUGGGCCAUGUGGGUGUCCCACACUUAUUUACGCUGCACCGUGCCCUUGAUGGCAAGUUCUACUGGCAGCAAGAUGGCAGCAAGUAGGAUUUAGCCAGUGGACUCUUCUGCUUAUUCCUUUUAUUUUUUAUUUUUUUCUUCUGAUGGUCUGCAGGGAGUCCGGGUUCCACCGUAGUAAAUGAGAACUGGGAAGAAAGCUAAAGGUUCAAGAACUCAAAGCAUACACCAGCAGCUACAAAGCAAGGACUGGGAAAAAGGAAAUGCAGAAAUCUGACUUAAGCAGACCACUUGUCUGGCUGCAACCAGAGAUGUGAACCUCAUUCCCAAACAAGACACAUCAGCAGCAGCUGGACAAGGAGACACAUAAGGUGCUUGGCAUCCCUGUCACCUCAUGGGCAGCACAGCUGUGUGCCACGGCCACCUGGCCACGCUGGGUGACCGAGGCCCCACGUGCCUGCUUCAGCCUGAAUUUUGAGGGCCCUCACAGACAUCUCUGCGCUGCAAGGCGUGACGGUGUUCCCACCGUGGGUUUGCACUGGGUGUGACCACAGCUCGGGGCAGCUAAGGUGAUGCUACGGGUUCCUCAUCAUUAUUCCUGCCAGAGGAGGAGUCUGACGACAUUCGCGCAUCUGUGGAGAGCAGCGUUUAUCGAACAAGCAACACACAAGUUUCAAAGCCAAGCAAAGAUGAAAGAAGCCGGUGACUUGGCCUCAUCCCCAGACGAUAUAGAUGCUACUUUUUUUGGUUUGGUUUGGUUUUGGGU